rnacentral:rRNA from 1 species
GCUACCUACGGGACGCAGCAGUAGGGAAUUUUCGUCAAUGGGCGCAAGCCUGAACGAGCAAUGCCGCGCGAACGAGGAAGGUCUUCGGAUCGUAAAGUUCUGUUGAAGGGGAAAAAGAGCGGAGAGAGGAAAUGAACUCCGAUUGAUAUUACCCUUCGAGGAAGUCACGGCUAACUACGUGCCAGCAGCCGCGGUAAUACGUAGGUGGCGAGCGUUAUCCGGAAUGAUUGGGCGUAAAGGGUGCGUAGGCGGCCUGCUAAGUCUGGAGUGAAAGGUACCGGCACAACCGGUAUAGGCUCUGGAAA